rnacentral:miRNA from 1 species
AUGAAGGACGAGGGCAGACCGCG